rnacentral:rRNA from 1 species
GACGAACGCUGGCGGCGUGCUUAACACAUGCAAGUCGAACGAUGAAGCCGGAGCUUGCUCUGGUGAAUUAGUGGCGAACGGGUGAGUGACACGUGAGUAACCUGCCCUUGACUCUGGGAUAACUGCGGGAAACUGUAGCUAAUACCGGAUACGACCCUCGGAGGCAUCUCCUGGGGGUGGAAAGAAUUUCGGUCAAGGAUGGACUCGCGGCCUAUCAGCUAGUUGGUGAGGUAAAGGCUCACCAAGGCGACGACGGGUAGCCGGCCUGAGAGGGUGACCGGCCACACUGGGACUGAGACACGGCCCAGACUCCUACGGGAGGCAGCAGUGGGGAAUAUUGCACAAGGGGCGCAAGCCUGAUGCAGCAGCGCCGCGUGAGGGAUGACGGCCUUCGGGUUGUAAACCUCUUUUAGCAGGGAAGAAGCGAAAGUGACGGUACCUGCAGAAAAAGCACCGGCUAACUACGUGCCAGCCGCCGCCGUAA